rnacentral:rRNA from 1 species
CGCGGUAUUUGAACCGUGCUAAGGUAGCAUAAUAAAUAGUCUUUUAAUUGAGGUCUAGUAUGAAUGGUUGGACAUGAAGUAAGCUGUUUCAACUAUAAAAUUUGAAUUUUACUUUUAAGUGAAAAGGCUUAAAUUAUAUGGGGGGACGAUAAGACCCUAUAAAGCUUUACAUUUUAUUUUUUAGUUUGAGAGUUUAAUGUUUUCUAUACUUGGUAAGUAAAGUGUUUCGUUGGGGCGACGGAAAUAUAAAAUAAUAACUGUUUUUUAUAAAAAAUAAAUUUUUUUAGGAGAGUUGAUCCUUUAUACAGAUUAUGAGAAUUAAGUUACUUUAGGGAUAACAGCGUAAUUUUUCUUGAGAGUUCAUAUCGACAGAAAUAGUUGCGACCUCGAUGUUGAAUUAAGGUUUCCCCAGGGUGUAGCAG